UUCAUCUCGCUAAUGUGUCUGUGAAGUAUCUAUCAUUUUGCUAGCCCUGUUUCAUUUCAGAAGUUCAAGGUUAUCUCAUUCUGGCAUAUCUCAUUUGCCUGCUGAUGAAGUGAAGCCUUUGGUUAAAUAUGAUAAUGAUGAAGAUGCACACUCACCUGGUGGCCGUGGAAGGGGUCGUGGUGGUCGAGGCCGUGGGCGGGGCAGGGGCAGAGGUGGACGUGGAAAUGGGUUCAAUGAGUAUGCUGAUGCUGGUUGGGAAGACGAUCACGCCCCUGCAUAUAUGGGCAAUGGAUAUGCCCGUGGAAGAGGUCACAGUUUCAGGGGCCGUGGUAGGAGAGGAGGCGACAAUAACCAGCCUGAAUACCAACAGGUCGGAGGUUAUUUCAAGAAGAUCCAAUUGAACCAAAAACUGGAAUAAAAUUUCCAACAUUUCUGGAAGACGACUCCAGUCCAUCUGCAGCGGUCCUUGUUGGGAUAGGUUUCAAAGGCAUGAGAGUGAUGAGGGUCAAAAAUCUGAACCUCUACGCUUUUGGUUUAUAUAUGCAACCAACUUCUAUCCGUGAGAAGUUGGGUCCUAAGUAUGCUUCAUUUCCAACUGACAAGCUGAUGGAGAACCCUGAUUUCUAUAGUGAUCUUCUCAGGAAAUGGGUUCAAUGAGUAUGCUGAUGCUGGUUGGGAAGACGAUCACGCCCCUACAUAUAUGGGCAAUGGAUAUGCCCAUGGAAGAGGUCGCAGUUUCAGGGGCCGUGGUAGGAGAGGCGGCGACAAUAACCAGCCUGAAUACCAACAGGUCGGAGGUUAUUACGAGGAGGCACCUGUUCAUGCUCCAGCUUUAGGUGGGUAACCUCACAGGACACAAAUGAAGUGUACAAAAUAUUUUCAAACAAAAUUAAGCAAGGCCUAAAGAUAAUCUGAAGAGCUUUGUACAUGCGAUUUUUUAUCAUUGUCGAUCCUGAUUCCUGAUGCUUUUAUUUUUUUCAACAACAGAUUUUCACCAUUUGUAAUGGAACUGAAACCAGCCUCUCAUCGAAGUGGAAACCUUUUUUUAGUCGUAAACAUUUACAUGGUUUAUCCAGUGGUAUGCUGAUGAAAGAUGCUAAGUUUCGCUUAAUAUAAUGUAUAUGAAGGUCCUGGGUACCUCAAAUUUUGUCCACAUUGAACCAGUACGAAUGACAUCUUCCUUGAAAGUUAUAGAAAUGCUUCAAAGUU